UUGGUAAUGGGUAGGUUGUUACCAGUGUACUGAUAUCUGACCUCAUAGAGUUUGGUAAUGGGUAGGUUGUUACCAGUGUACUGAUAUCUGACCUCAUAGAGUUUGGUAAUGGGUAGGUUGUUACCAAUGUACUGAUAUCUGACCUCAUAGAGUUUGGUAAUGGGUAGGUUGUUACCAGUGUACUGAUAUCUGACCUCAUAGAGUUUGGUAAUGGGUAGGUUGUUACCAGUGUACUGAUAUCUGACCUCAUAGAGUUUGGUAAUGGGUAGGUUGUUACCAGUGUACUGAUAUCUGACCUCAUAGAGUUUGGUAAUGGGUAGGUUGUUACCAAUGUACUGAUAUCUGACCUCAUAGAG